rnacentral:misc_RNA from 1 species
GAUGAAGAACGUAGCGAAAUGCGAUAAGUAAUGUGAAUUGCAGAAUUCAGUGAAUCAUCGAAUCUUUGAACGCACAUUGCGCCCUCUGGUAUUCCGGGGGGCAUGCCUGUUCGAGCGUCAUUAUAACCACUCAAGCUCUCGCUUGGUAUUGGGGUUCGCGGUUCCGCGGCCCCUAAAAUCAGUGGCGGUGCCUGUCGGCUCUACGCGUAGUAAUACUCCUCGCGAUUGAGUCCGGCAGGUCUACUUGCCAGCAACCCCCAAUUUUUACAGGUUGACCUCGGAUCAGGUAGGGAUACCCGCUGAACUUAAGCAUAUCAAUAAGCGGAGGA